rnacentral:lncRNA from 1 species
GGCUCUAAUCUCCCCUCCAAAGAAUAUCGAUGGCAAGAAGAAGGUUGAAGAUGGCUCCCACAAUCAAAAGAUUGUUAAAACAACUUCUAAAGAAAACUCAAGAGAGAAUUCUUGGAGAAAACCCCAAAGAAAAUUCUGCACUCAACAAAUCUAAAAUUUGAUAAAAAAAAUAAUAAUAAUAAGAUGUUUACAAAGGGUGGCUGGCC